GACGAACGCUGGCGGCGUGCUUAACACAUGCAAGUCGAACGGAAAGGCCCUGCUUUUGUGGGGUGCUCGAGUGGCGAACGGGUGAGUAACACGUGAGUAACCUGCCCUGGACUUUGGGAUAACUUCAGGAAACUGGGGCUAAUACCGGAUAGGAGCUCCUGCUGCAUGGUGGGGGUUGGAAAGUUUCGGCGGUUGGGGAUGGACUCGCGGCUUAUCAGCUUGUUGGUGGGGUAGUGGCUUACCAAGGCUUUGACGGGUAGCCGGCCUGAGAGGGUGACCGGCCACAGUGGGACUGAGAUACGGGCCAGACUACUACGGGAGGCAGCAGUGGGGAAUAUUGCACAAUGGGCGGAAGCCUGAUGCAGCAACGCCGCGUGCGGGAUGACGGCAUUCGGGUUGUAAACCGCUUUCGCCUGUGACGAAGCGUGAGUGACGGUAAUGGGUAAAGAAGCACCGGCUAACUACGUG
rnacentral:rRNA from 1 species